rnacentral:rRNA from 1 species
UACGGAGGCAGCAGUGGGGAAUAUUGCACAAUGGGCGAAAGCCUAAUGCAGCUAUGCCGCGUGUAUGAAGAAGGCCUUAGGGUUGUAAAGUACUUUCAUCGGGGAGGAAAAAACAAAACUAAUAAUUUUAUUUCUUGACGUUACCCGAAAAAGAAGCACCGGCUAACUCCGUGCCAGCAGCCGCGGUAAUACGGAGGGUGCUAGCGUUAAUCAGAAUUACUGGGCGUAAAGAGCACGUAGGUGGUUUUUUUAAAGUCAGAUGUGAAAUCCCUGGGCUUUAACCUAGGAACUGCAUUUUGAAACUGAAAUACUAGAGUAUCGUAGAGGGAGGUAGAAUUCUAGGUGUAGCGGUGAAAUGCGUAGAUAUCUGGAGGAAUACCUGUGGCGAAAGCGGCCUCCUAAACGAAUACUGACACUGAGGGUGCGAAAGCGUGGGGAGCAAACAGGGAUUAGAUACC